UAAUGACAAUUACGGAAACCCUAAUAAGGAUACGACAAAAAAAACGAAAUUUGAUCUUCUUCUACGAUGCGGCCGUGAUGCGGGACUCCUGCGAUUCUUCAUUCGAUUUGAAACGGUUUAUUAAUGGCUGCGUGGUAAAUCGAAUUGAUCAUCCCUCCACGAUUCAUCUUCAAUGAUUUGUGAAAGGCGGUCUCUAAACAGUAUAAAUAGAGAGUUUUCUUUUCUGAUCUGAAGUCCGGCGGCAAGUGCUCAUCCGUCGUCGAGGCAAGGCUCUUGCGAUACUGGGAGGCCCAGAAUGUGAAACGCGGCGGUGACCUGAUGUGGGUCGACAUGCUCACGAUCGACAGCGACCAUAAUGCAAGCCACUAUCUAUGCUAACCGCCUUCCGAGAUUCCGGUCUAAGCUCGCCGCCGGGAAGAUGUUUUUCCUCUCCGGUUUCGAUGUUGCCCGAUGUACUCAGAAUUACAGGCUGACAGACUCUCCUUUCCUGAUCCAGUUUAGUGAUCUAACCGAUUUUGAUGAGCUAACAGAUCUGGUUUCUCCCUUGCCUAACUCCCUCUCCUAUUUUCAGUGAGUAUAUAUAAUUUUGAUUUCAGGGUUUGUACCGAUGCAACCACUGUUAGGUUGUACUAUUGAGUUUAAAAAUAAGUAUACAGGAACAUGUUUUCAGUUUCCUACGUAAAGUAUAUGUCUUUCUUUGAAACCUUAGUUCUUUUGAGCAUUCUUUCAGGGAAUGCAAUAGCAGAACUAGGGAGACUUUUGAUGUACGAAACAUCUCGAGAGUGGCUGGUUGAUUGUUGCUUUAUAGGGAGAUCUCACUGACAGCUUUAUUCUGUGAAUAUUUGAUAGGGAUCGAUAUACUGUCUCAGUUAAGACACAUGCAUUUGGUUCCUUAAAUCGGGUACUGCAAUGAGAACAUCAAGAUGAUCAUGGUGUACGAGUAUAUGGAAAAGGAACGGUUAAGAACCAUAUUAUGACUUGGAUAACCCAAAGUGAGCUGCAGACACAAGCUGGAGAUAUGCGUUGGUGCAGCUAGAGGGACUAUCUCCAUACAGGUUUUGCAAGAGCCAUCACAUACGCGAUGUGAAAUCUGCUAACGUUCUCUUGGAUGAGAAGUUCAUGGCCAAAGUUUCAGAAUUGGGACUCCCUAAGACUGGUCCAUAUCUUGACCAGACAUAUUGAUUCUUAAGGUACUAUGCGGGACACUACUCAUUGAUCCAUAUAUUUCAAGAAAGUGAAUUGAUCAAAUGUGCGAAAAAGUUGGUGAAGAAAGCAAAGAUAGAAGAGAUCAUAGACCAGUUUCUUGAUUGGAAAUAAAAGCUUGAAGAGAUUAGGUUGUACUGUGAGUUAGCAGAGGAGUGUUUAGUCCAACAAUGGGAAGUUAUUGUGGAAAUUAGAGUCUAUACUUCAGGUCGAAGUGAAAGACGAUAAAACAACAAUAGUGCAUGCUUAUCCAAGGUUAGCAUCGUGGGAUCAACGGUGCAUUUUAGUGUGGAUGGAAUGGGAUAUAUGGCAAGGUGUCUCAAUGAGAAGUUUUUGCUCAAAUAGUGGAAAUAGAAGAGUAUUUAAAUUACUAUAGUGUUGUCUGUACAAGAGGGAGGAGAGACUACAUUACUUUUUUUUUAUAUCCGUUGCUACAGAUUAGUGAUUUUUUUUUUGAGAAAUGCUACAUAUUAUUGUUAUA